rnacentral:tRNA from 2 species
GGGCGCUUAGCUCAGCGGUAGAGCACUCGCCUUACAAGCGAGGGGUCACUGGUUCGAACCCAGUAGCGCCCA